GACGAACGCUGGCGGCGUGCCUAAUACAUGCAAGUCGAACGCAGUGGGGACGGGUGAGUAACACGUGGGUAACCUCCCAUCAGAGGGGAUAACACUUGGAAACAGGUGCUAAACCGAUACUGAUGGAUGGACCCGCGGUGCAUUAGCUAGUUGGUGAGGUAACGGCUCACCAAGGCCACGAUGCAUAGCCGACCUGAGAGGGGGACCGGCCAAACUGGGACGGAGACAUGGCCAAGACUCCUCCGGGAGGCAGAAGUAGGGAAUCUUGGGCAAUGGACGAAAGUCUGACCGACCAACGCCGCGUAAGUGAGGAAGGUUUUCGGACCGUAAAACUCUGUUGUUAGAGAAGCGGUAUCUAACCAGAAAGCCACGGCUAACUACGUGCCAGCAGCCGCGGUAAUUC
rnacentral:rRNA from 1 species